rnacentral:rRNA from 1 species
GAUGAACGCUAGCGGCAGGCCUAAUACAUGCAAGUCGAACGGUGUCUUCGGACAUAGUGGCGCACGGGUGCGUAACACGUAUGCAACCUACCUUACAUUGGGGGAUAGCCUUUCGAAAGGGAGAUUAAUACCGCAUAAGACAGUAGCUGGGCAUCCAGCAGCUGUUAAAGAUUUAUCGAUGUAAGCUGGGCAUGCGUCCAAUUAGCUAGUUGGUGAGGUAACGGCUCACCAAGGCAAUGAUUGGUAGGGGAACUGAGAGGUCAAUCCCCCACACUGGCACUGAGAUACGGGCCAGACUCCUACGGGAGGCAGCAGUAGGGAAUAUUGGGCAAUGGACGCAAGUCUGACCCAGCCAUGCCGCGUGCAGGAUGAAGGCGUUAUGCGUUGUAAACUGCUUUUAUACAGGAAGAAACGACUCUUGCGAGAGGCAUUGACGGUACUGUAUGAAUAAGCACCGGCUAACUCCGUG